GUGCUUGCUUCGGCAUCACAUAAAGUAAAAUUGGAAUGAUAUAGAGAAGAAUAGCAUGGCCCCUGCGCAAGAAGGCAGGUUUGAGAACUUGGGGAGCCAUUCAUGUCCUU
rfam:Pteropus alecto contig81010, whole genome shotgun sequence.